rnacentral:rRNA from 1 species
CAGUCGCCGCGGGAAUACAGAGGGUGCGAGCGUUAAUCGGAUUUACUGGGCGUAAAGCGUGCGUAGGCGGCUUCUUAAGUCGGAUGUGAAAUCCCUGAGCUUAACUUAGGAAUUGCAUUUGAUACUGGGAAGCUAGAGUAUGGGAGAGGAUGGUAGAAUUCCAGGUGUAGCGGUGAAAUGCGUAGAGAUCUGGAGGAAUACCGAUGGCGAAGGCAGCCAUCUGGCCUAAUACUGACGCUGAGGUACGAAAGCAUGGGGAGCAAACAGGAUUAGAUACCCCGGUAGUCCUGUCUCUUAUACA